rfam:Hordeum vulgare subsp. vulgare, WGS project CAJW01000000 data, contig: morex_contig_2555138
CUACUACUCCCUCCGUUCCUAAAUAUUUGUCUUUUUAAAGAUUCAACUAUGGACUACAUACAGAACAAAAUGAGUGAACUUAUACUCUAAAUUAUGUCUAUAUACAUCUGUAUGUAGUCUGUACUGAAAUUUCUAAAAGACAAAUAUUUAGGAACGGAGGGAGUAGUAU